GAUGAACGCUGGCGGCGUGCCUAAUACAUGCAAGUCGAACGGAGAGUGUUAGCUUCGGUUGAUAACUCUUAGUGGCGAACGGGUGAGUAACGCGUUGGUGACCUGCCCCGAAGAGGGGGAUAACAGCUCGAAAGGGCUGCUAAUACCCCAUAAGGUGCUAGAGGUUAGAGGCUCUAGCAAGAAAGGAGUAAUCCGCUUCGGGAGGGGCCUGCGUCCCAUCAGCUAGUUGGUAGGGUAAAGGCCUACCAAGGCGAAGACGGGUAGGGGACCUGAGAGGGUGGCCCCCCACAAUGGAACUGAAACACGGUCCAUACACCUACGGGUGGCAGCAGUAGGGAAUAUUGCACAAUGGGCGAAAGCCUGAUGCAGCAACGCCGCGUGUGCGAUGAAGGCCUUCGGGUUGUAAAGCACUUUUCGGGGAGAUGAGGAAGGACAGUAUCCCCGGAAUAAGGCUCGGCUAACUACGUG
rnacentral:rRNA from 1 species